rnacentral:misc_RNA from 1 species
AGUCAUUCCAACUAAAGGCUCAAGGCCAGAGCCAAUAAUGUCCAUUCAGGAUAGAGCUGUUCAGUCUCAAGCUUUGCUGAAUGUCAAAGACUCAAACAAGGAGGACAGAGAAAAAAUGGUAGUCCGUAGGUUUAAAUUUGAGGAGUUACGGAUAGAACAGAUUCAAGAUCUUGAGAAUGACAUGAUGAAAUUUUUCAGAGAGGAUCUACACAGGCGGCUGUUAAGUGCUGAUUUUAAGAAACAAGUUGAGGGGCUUGAGAUGCUACAGAAGGCACUUCCGUCAAUUGUAAAGGAAACAAUUGAAGUUUUGGAUAUCCUUCUGAGGUGGUUUGUUUUGCAAUUUUGUAAAUCUAACACGACAUGCCUUUUGAAGGUGCUGGAAUUCCUUCCAGAACUUUUUGUCAUGCUUAGGGAUGAAGGCUACACAUUGACUGAAUCAGAAGCUGCUAUAUUUCUUCCUUGCUUGAUAGAAAAGUUGGGGCAUAAUAUUGAGAAAGUGCGAGAAAAGAUGCGUGAGAUUACCAAACAAAUUUUUCAUGCAUAUUCUGCGGCAAAAACAUUUCCUCAUAUUUUGGAGGGUUUGCGGUCUAAAAACAACCGCACGCGGAUAGAGUGUGCAGAUCUUGUUGGAUUCUUGAUUGAUCAUCACGGGGCUGAGAUUAGUGGACAGUUAAAAUACUUGCAAGUUGUUGCAAGCUUGACAGCCGAACGAGAUGGUGAAAUUAGGAAAGCUGCUUUAAAUACACUUGCUACUGGUUAUAAGAUUCUUGGUGAGGACAUAUGGCGAUACGUCGGAAAGCUCACAGAUGCUCAGAAAAGCAUGUUAGAUGAUAGAUUUAAGUGGAAGGUCCGGGAGAUGGAAAAGAGAAAGGAAGGCCGGCCAGGUGAUGCAAGGGCUGCUUUAAGACGUUCUAUUAGGGAAAAUGGAUCUGAUUUAGCGGAACAAAGUGGGGAAGUUUCGCAGUCUAUUUCAGGCCCAGCAUUCUCUAGGAAAAACUACAGUCCUCAUGAGCUUAAUAUGGAAAGACAGAUAAUGCCUCGUGCAGUUAGUAGUGUCAAUGGACCCACAGACUGGAAUGAAGCUUUGGAUAUCAUUUCGUUUGGCUCCCCAGAUCAGUCAGUUGAAGGAAUGAAAGUUGUGUGCCAUGAGUUGGCACAGGCCACUAGUGAUCCGGAAGGGAAUGCAAUGGAUGAACUUGUGAAAGAUGCUGAUAGACUUGUUUCAUGCUUGGCAAGCAAGGUAGCCAAGACUUUUGAUUUCAGUUUGACUGGAGCUUCAUCAAGGUCUUGUAAAUAUGUCCUUAACACGCUCAUGCAGACAUUUCAAAAUAAAAGUCUUGCUCAUGCUGUCAAAGAAAGCACUCUUGACAGUCUGAUAACAGAGCUUCUACUUUGGCUAUUGGAUGAAAGGGUUCCCCAUAUGGAUGAUGGCAGCCAACUACUGAAAGCAUUGAACGUGUUGAUGCUUAAGAUUUUGGAUAAUGCGGAUAGAACUUCAUCCUUUGUUGUCCUGAUCAAUCUCCUACGUCCAUUAGAUC